rnacentral:rRNA from 1 species
UACGAAGGGGGCUAGCGUUGCUCGGAAUCACUGGGCGUAAAGCGCACGUAGGCGGAUCUUUAAGUCAGGGGUGAAAUCCUGGAGCUCAACUCCAGAACUGCCUUUGAUACUGGAGAUCUCGAGUCCGGAAGAGGUGAGUGGAACUCCGAGUGUAGAGGUGAAAUUCGUAGAUAUUCGGAAGAACACCAGUGGCGAAGGCGGCUCACUGGUCCGGUACUGACGCUGAGGUGCGAAAGCUAGGGGAGCAAACAGG